GACGAAUGAUGGCGGCGGGCUUAACACAUGCAAGUCGAACGGAAAGGGCCUGCUUUUGUGGGGUGCUCGAGUGGCGAACGGGUGAGUAACACGGGAGUAACCUGGCCUUGACUUUGGGAUAACUUCAGGAAACUGGGGCUAAUACCGGAUAGGAGCUCCGGCUGCAUGGUGGGGGUUGGAAAGUUUCGGCGGUUGGGGAUGGACUCGGGGCUUAUCAGCUUGUUGGUGGGGUAGUGGCUUACCAAGGCUUUGACGGGUAGCCGGCCUGGGAGGGUGACCGGCCACAUUGGGCCUGCGAGACGGCCCAGACUCCUACGGGAGGCAGCAGUGGGGAAUAUUGCCCAAUGGGCCGAAGCCUGAUGCAGCAACGCCGCGUGCGGGAUGACGGCCUUCGUGUUGUAAACCGCUUUCGCCUGUGACGAAGCGUGAGUGACGGUACUGGGUAAAGAAGCACCGGCUAACUACGUG
rnacentral:rRNA from 1 species